UUCUUGCACUCCUCCAUCUCU
rnacentral:miRNA from 1 species